AGCGCGGGGAGCCAGAGCGCGCGGGCGCCGGCAGGCUGGCCGAGCUCCGUUUCCACAGUCGCCCUUGAUGGCGGCGCAGGCGAGGCAGCCGUGGCACGGAGCGGCAGCCACGCGCUAGAGAGUCCGCCCGGCCCCGCCCGGCCGGCCCGCCCGUGCCCUGCCCUGCCCGCCUCUCUCCACGCGCCCUCCGGCAGACGUCGGCGCCCCGGCUCAGUCCCUCGCCGCGUGCAGCUCCGCCGCCUCCGGGCCGGCAGGGAGGGCACUGAUCUUCGAUCGCGAAGAUGGCUGCUGGCUGCCUGCUGGCCUUGACUCUGACACUUUUCCAAUCUUGGCUGAUCGGCCCCUCGAGCGAGGAGCCCUUCCCUUCGCCCGUCACUAUCAAGUCAUGGGUGGAUAAAAUGCA
rnacentral:lncRNA from 1 species